UUGAAGUGGUUUUUGCAAGGCUUACUUGGUGCCUUGAACCUGGGUGUGCUCGGGUGCCAAAUGCACUUCCUUUUUCCUCCUGAUCUGGCAGCUGAAUUCCCUUUCAGGAACUGACAGGAGAUACCCUUUCUGGACUGCCAGCAGGGCCUCUGCACUCAGGGAGGCUGGCAGCGUCACCGCCCCGGACCUGUUGUUGACUGGACGCUCCGUGAAAGCAAGGAUCAUGCCUAUUUCGGCCACCACUGUUGCCCUGGCCUAGAGAAGAUGCUCAGCAUUGCUAUUAGAGCUACGGCAGCCUCCUUGCGACCCUGAGGGUGAAUUUCAUAGUUGAAGAUGGUGGAGGCAAGAGUCUCGAUCCUUUGUGGCCUUGCUAAGGAGCUGUCCAGCUCUGCCUUUGUCUGGGCUCCUUGUUACGUGAGGAAAGUAAGUCCCUUCAUGUCAUCGCAGUAUUUUGUUACCUGUAGCCUAAUGCAACAAUUAGGAAUGCGAUUCAGGAAUUCCAAUAUGCUUUCUCAAAAGGACAAAGACUAUGUUUGGUCAACAGUUAUGCCCACAUCCUGCUUCCUUCCCCCCAGAAAAAUACUCAAGCAUGACUAAAAGUGGGACAGAUUUUGGAGGAGCAAUCUAUUAAACUAACACAUCGGAAACGUGAAGAAAAUAAAAGCUUACAAUUUGGAAAAUAGUAUAAAUGGCAUUUUGAGGCUAUUCCAGGGAUCUGUGCCAGUGUUAAUUAAGAGCAAGGGGCCUUUCGUUCAACUAAGAGCUUUUGGGAGCCGCAUAGCUUUUCCCAGAAACUUUUCUCAGCCUGAGGGCUCUUAUCAAAACUGUUGUAAAUGAGAUCGGUGGAACCCCGCCGGGAAAACGAAGGGGUCCACAAAAUGCUGACUUCAUGAGCACUGCAGAGGUAAGGAUUGCCAGGAUGAAAACAGCAGCCCUCACAGGUCUGCUUUCACAGUUCCAUCCAGUGCAUGGAUGAUUACGUGCUCCAAGCUGCUUCUCACCAGUCUCAUCCUAUCAUCCAUUCAUGGAUUCUAGACAGGAGGCCCAGCGUCCCUGAAUUGAUUACAGAAUUUUGCAAGUGACUUGAAAAUAGGGACUGUAUCCCCCUGGAGCGUUAUGUCAUAGGAACUCAAACGUAUUUGUCAAUGAAUUGGAAUUCCAUUUUUGAUCAUUUCUAAUUGCUUUUUUUUUUAAUGUGCAAAGAUGUAAUAGUUAAACUCAGUUAAAUAGGUAAAAUUUCAACGUAGAAAGUGGGAAAGAACAGCCUCUGAUAUGCUGAGCUUCCAAAUUUAAUUUUAAGGUGAUAAUUAAUGAACACGAUCACAGCAUCAAUUUUAAGGAUUCCCCCCCCCUCCCAGAAUUUUGGAUAGUUGCACAUUGAAAUAUUGCACAUGAGUGAUUCCUCAGUAGUGUUAUUCCAGGGUAGUUGCAAUAACAAAUAUUAACUACGUACUCCAAAAAGCAGUAAUGCCGACGUAAGACCAGACAGAACCAGCCAUGUCUGCGUAUUUCACAGAUGAUUAAGUUGGUAUUUUCAAUCAGUAGGGAUGGUACUGAACUCACUACCUGGGUGGAGAAGAAUGCGGUUUAGAGAAAUGUGAUGGUGAAUAGAACAGAUACAUGACUAGGCGUUGUUUUCGGAACAGGCGUUUCUUUUAUAAGACAGAGGAGACUUGGCACUUUUGCGGGCAGGGGGAAGGGUACAGUGAGAGGGAACAGGAGACUCAGGAGGGGCUGCAUAAUGGAGCAAGGGUGGUAGAGAAUGAAAAGCACAGAGAGAAGGCCAGGCUGGACCACAGACAGCAUUUCAGCUGCAGGGUCAGCUGUAAAUGAGAGGAAAGUGCAGCCGUGAGCAGGGUGAGGUCCUGAGCAUGGAAGCUGGAGGCGGCCACGGGCUGGCCAGUAGAUAGGCCAGGUGCUUAUCCACUGAGAGUACGUGGUGGGAGCAAGGCUUGGAUGGGCUGUCAAGGAAAUCCAGGAGUGUGACAACGUGUGACCAUAGGCUGAGCAGCAGCGAGGGCCCUGUGGAGGUUCCGGAAAGCCAUUCGUGGGACAAGAACUUGGCUGAGUGAUGCUGACACUUACAGAACCAGCCUGCUGAGCUUGAUCGAACACUGGACGUCAGUAGGUAAUCUCAGGGCGGGUUGUUCUUUAAAAUUACUCAUCCGAUGAGAUAAAGCAUAAUGUUCACAUGAAAUUGGAAGAAGGAGAAGGAGAAACACCCACUACACAAUUUAACACUCAGCUGGUUUCAUAUUCAGUGGGGAAAAAAAAUUAAAAAAUAAACAACCGGUUUCUAACAAAUCCAGCCCUAUUUUGAAGUAACUUCCAGAUCUACAACCACCUCGGUCGGGGACGAGAUUUACCACUUACCAUGAUAGAGUGAAAUGGUGGCGGGUUGGGAGAGGCAGUUGGGUCCUCUGUGAGUCAGAUACAGAGUGACACAGGGAGUUCACUUCUGUAUGGACUUUGCCGUAGAUUUUGGGAAUGACUGAGAACUGUGUCUCUACAUACCUAACUAUGCCUUUCAAACGGGCUGUGACUCAAACAGCUGCCUGUGAUGAUUGGAUCGGCCGUUCUGUGGGCUCUGCCAAUCAGGACGGUAAUACUAUGCAUUCACAAACAGGCUGUCAGAACCUCUGUGAUCAGGACCCAUGCAGGCUCAAGCUGGGGGGCAAUCAGAGUGGGUUUCUCUAUGAGGAACCUCAGAUUCGGACACCGCCCCCUUCCCUGCCCCAAGCUGCCCUGUCCAGCCCAGAGAGGUGGAAGUACCAGAAGAGGUGAAGGUCCCGUGAGACUCAGAGGAGGAGGAACAAGGAAACCAGAGUUAGCUCAGCUCGAAAGGCAACAGCAGCCCCAUGGCAGCCCUGGGCUGACGGAAGGGUGGCUGUCAGGGCUGCAGAGGCUCCACUGACCUGGCACGUCCAGGCCUUGGACCUCUGCACAAACAGUGUCCCUCUGCCUUUAGUCCAGGACUCAGCGUCCCACUGACCUGCCCAAGCCCACCCAGCAGGCCUUAGCGUUGGCAUGAAUGCUGCACCACCGCUGACCUGCCCAAGUGACCUGGGACGGAAACACUGAGGUGCUGCCGUUGGACACACGUCCAUGCCUUGUUUCUCCAUCCGGAAGAUCCGUAUUUCGAAAGAUUUAAAUUAAGGCAACCCACACACAAUAUGAUUAAAGAACACUGUGGAAAUGUCAAAUGCUAUAAAUACGGACGGUGUCGGGGCAGCCGAGAAGCAGCCUGGAAGCCGGGUCCCUUCCCUCAUCCCUUGUGGCACCUAUCCUGAUUGUCACACGCGUACAGAGGAAUCCAUAAAAAUCAUGGGUGGCUGAGAAACUCCACUGUAUUUUGAAAAUACUUCUUCAAAUACUGUCUGAAAGUCUCAUGAGAGGAAGCUUAUUUUGUUCUCUUAAGUAAUCGCUACUAAAGGAAUCGCUCCUCUGUCCAACUCGAAAGCCACAUAUGAUUAGAAAAAUAAUGUGAAAACUAUCUUGCCCUUUGCUGUGUCAAAUGAGGAGAAAGGAGAGAUUUAAAAAUAUACAUAUAUAGAUCCUUAAAAUCUGUGACUGGAGAGAGGGAAGUCUGAACAAAUUCACUUCAGAUGCCAAAGUCUUUAAGAAACGAGGACCAAAAGGAUGAUGUAAAGACGGUGUAAUUUGGAUGGAAGGGGUUUCAAGAGAGACUCUCUUCUCUGUGAGCCUUCACGAGUUUUACCUUGCCAGCCUCCAGCCCAGGCAAACACAAGUCCCUGUGUCUUUUGCUCCUUGUCACGGGCGGCCGCACAUUCCUAGGAUAAAGCAAACCACAGUAUGCAACGUCAAGCAUGCCCUCAAUCGACCCAUGACUCUUCUUACUCAUUCCUUGCUGAUGUCCGGUCCCCACUCCAGCCACACCUGAAUAUCGCAUGCAACCCAGAGCCACCAAUCCGGACAGGUGGCGACAGGCUGGGGCACGCUCGGAGGCUGAGCUCUCAACCCCUGCCUUCUGAGGAAUUCCUAAGGAACCUUUGCUUUUGAGUCUGAAGCACCUGAGAGCCGGUUUCAGAAGUCCGAUGGUCCUCCAGCAGGCCCCAAGGAAUGGAAUUUGGAUGAGCGGCCAGGAGCUGCAGAGAGCAGGACGCAGGGGUCGGUCUAAGGACAAACUGGCUAAGAGCUCUGCAGAAGUGAAAUGGGUUGUGUCCUGAAAGGAUCAGUUCCCCGUGCCGGGGGCUGAUCAUAUCAAAGUCUCAUCUUCAGUAGGUAACUAGCUCAGCUCGAGUUUGGGGACCCCUGGUAAUUGAGAGAGCCCGUUUUGUGUUGCAGCUUUCCAGCGGAUUAGGACAUCAACUCAUUACUUUCGGUGCAAGGGAUACACUGUUGAAACUGGGUUUCCCUGUGUGGGAUUGGAAGUGUCCUUGUCAAGGGGUGUGUAAGACAGCACAUAGGAGUGAGUGUGUGCUGCUGGGCAAGUCGGAGGGGGCUAGUGCAGAGGUGGGCUGAAGCUCGCUCUGGCAGAAUCCAGCCACAGUGCGUAGAGGCAGCAGCGUAUGCGAGCUACAGAAGCAGAAGCGCACACGGCCCAGUGGCUACAGGUGGCAGAGCUUUAGCAGCAGCUGAAGACCUGAUUUUGAAUGGCCUUGAUGCUGGGUGGUUGUCCUGGGAUAGCGAGGCAGAGAGAAGUGUUUACACUGGUGUCGGAGGGACUCGUGAAGUGUUGGGUCGGACAGUAUGGGCUCUGCAGCCAGGGGUCCGAGCGGAGCUGGGAACAGGGUGCAGGCAAUCAUUUCAGAGGUAGAAUCGACAGAACAGAGACUCAGGGAUUGUGAGAAAGCAGAACGGGUUAAAUAUGACUCAGAAAUUUCUGUCUGGAGCCACUGAGUGGAGGAGGAAUACGCUGCAAAGAGUUGGUUCAGCAUUUGAUUUUGAACGUAUCAGUUUAGAGGCAGGGGAGAGAAAGAGGCUGGUAACAAAAGCCAGGGGUCAGUAUGCAGUGGCUCCCCUACCCGGGACCCCUUUUUUUCCUGGAAACAGAACCCCCUUUUCUGGGAGUAUUUCCCUACCCCAUGGUUCCAACUAUGAGGCUCUCAUCACCUGGUCACUGUUACUAGAUCCAGAGAAAAUAUUGAGACAGGCGACCAGAAAUCAUUCGCAGGGAUUUCUUUUUUUUUUAAGUUAAACAAAAUUUCCAACAUAUAUAAAAACAGACAGAAUAGCGUAAGGAAACCCCUGUACUUCAACAAUGAUCAAUUCAAGGCUAAUUUUGUUUCAGCGCUCCCUCUAUCUACGUCCUCCCCUCCCCCAUAGUCCUUUGAAGCAAAUCGCAGACAUUUUCGAAUUCACCGUGUGGUAUUGUAAUGUCAAUAAAUGACAGGAAUCUGGGCAGUCACGUUUCUGUCAUGUUGAGCAAGUCAGUUUAACCUAAGAGAGGAUGAAACAGACCUCAGGAAAAAUGAGAAAGGGUCUUGGUGGCUUUUGAGCCUGCCUUUCCUGAUAUUCCAGAGGUGGUUCAACCUGUAGCUUCCAUGAGCCCCGAUCUCCCUUCCUGCCUAACCAGUUUGGGCUUCUGUCCUUUUCAACCACGCGACCUGAGACACCCCAGCAUUCGCCUAGUGACGGAGGCCGUGCCUGGGAGUGUGUCCUCUCCUGUAAAAACAGCUUCCCGCCUCCCCCAACUGCAAAUCCUUUCCUCAUGCUGGUAGCAGGAAGCGGCCUCUCCCAUCCCUGAGUCACAGGGCGUUUUAUAGAGCACCCUCAUUCCAUGGCUCGCACCCUCUUUUGUUCUGAGCUAUGUGGGUACAGGAGUUUGCUGCAAACAGUAAGCCUGCUGCAAACAGGACCUACCCCUGAUCUCUGGCUCUCCUCCUCCACCCCCAACAUCACACACAGCGUAAGUUCUCCAUAAGACGGCUGACAGAGGAAAAAAAAAAAAGUUUCAUUUCGUUAAGCCAAGGUUCGGUACCAUGUAAAGCUUGAGGGAAAUGGAUAGAAAGAGAUUUAAGACUGUUUCUCUAGAGCCUUUUCAAGGCAAGUCUGUGCAACAAAGAGGGACUUGGUAAUAACCAUUGAGAACCCCGGUCCUAAUAAAACCGAGGAAAACAGCAUUACGGUGACGUCAUGUUGAUGUAAUGAAAAGUAAAGGCUGCCAACCUGAAGCCACAGCUCCUUUUCAACAGCUCCCCAUCAUGACAACGUACUGGGAUAUUUGCUUCCACGUAAAAGCAGGAUGGUGUGUUUUAUGUCAC